GCCCCGGUGGCGGAAUUGGUAGACGCUGCAGGUUGAGGGCCUGUUGACCUCACGGUCGUGAAGGUUCGAGUCCUUUCCGGGGCAC
rnacentral:tRNA from 1 species